rnacentral:tRNA from 1 species
GUCCUGGUAGCUCGGCUGGAUAGAGCACCGCCCUCCUAAGGCGGGUGUCGGAGGUUCGAAUCCUCUUCAGGACGCCA